rnacentral:rRNA from 1 species
GACGAACGCUGGCGGCGUGCUUAACACAUGCAAGUCGAGCGGAGCGGCGAACGGGUGAGUAACGCGGGAGUAACUGCCCCCCUCUCUGGGAUAACAGUUGGCAACGGCUGCUAAUACCGGAUAGUGGGGGAUGACUCGCGUCCUAUCAGCUUGUUGGUGGGGUAGGGGCCAACCAAGGCGACGACGGGUAGCCGGCCUGGGAGGGCGACCGGCCACAUUAUGCUGAGAGACGGCGCAAACGCCAACGGUAGGCAGCAGGGGGGAAUAUUGCACAAUGCGGGAAACCCUGAGGAAGAAGCGCCGCGUGCGGAAGGACGGCUUUCGGGUUGUAAACCGCUUUCAGCCAUGACGCGGUAGUGGCAGAAGAAGCACCGGCUAACUACGUGCCAGCAGCCGCGGUAAUUC